rnacentral:other from 1 species
CGUCCACUGCGUUUGCGUGAGUCCUAUAUUUCCUUGAACCAAUGCGCAUUGCGCCCGGGCUUGGAACAUAUCCUCUGCAGGUGUGAUCAUCUCGCGUCAGAUGAACCCGAAGCUUGGCUGACCUCGCCCACCUGAACCUCCGGUUCAGGAAUGCGGCUCACGGCUCGCGGUGGACAC